UAGGGAAUCUUCCACAAUGGACGCAAGUCUGAUGGAGCAACGCCGCGUGAGUGAAGAAGGCUUUCGGGUCGUAAAACUCUGUUAUUGAAGAAGAACGUGUGUGACAGUAACUGGUCAUGCAGUGACGGUAUUCAAUCAGAAAGUCACGGCUAACUACGUGCCAGCAGCCGCGGUAAUACGUAGGUGGCAAGCGUUGUCCGGAUUUAUUGGGCGUAAAGCGAGUGCAGGCGGUCUUUUAAGUCUGAUGUGAAAGCCUUCGGCUUAACCGAAGAAGGGCAUCGGAAACUGGGAGACUUGAGUGCAGAAGAGGAGAGUGGAACUCCAUGUGUAGCGGUGAAAUGCGUAGAUAUAUGGAAGAACACCAGUGGCGAAGGCGGCUCUCUGGUCUGUAACUGACGCUGAGGCUCGAAAGCGUGGGUAGCAAACAGGAUUAGAUACCCUGGUAGUCCACGCCGUAA
rnacentral:rRNA from 1 species